rnacentral:lncRNA from 1 species
GCCAGGGAAGGGCAGCAUUCCCUACAGCCGCCAUUUCUUCUCUGCCAGCAAUCUGCUGUCCUGCGUAGCCAGAGCUGGAAGGUCAGAUAUCUCUGGAAUGUAUUGAGCACCUACUGGGUGCACAACCUUGUAGAAGAGCCCGUGCCCUCGGCGAGAAUCUGCUCCCAUGUCCCCACAGUUCUGUCUCGUGCCUGCUCUGCUGUGGGCGAAGUGUCCCUUCUGCCACCAGGGCCCCUGACUAUUUUUCCUGGAAUCAUCUGGCCUCCUGGUCUCUUCUAGGCCUGCUGGAUCAGGGUGAGAAUCCAGCGUAGGCCACCGUAACCAGACUGCCUGCUGCAUGGACAGCAGGCGCUGGCCCAGCUGGCUCUGACGAGUCCUGGACCCUUUCUUCACUGGAAAGUACCUCUCGUGGAGAAAGUUCAUCAAGGUGACCCCUCGUGAGCAAGAUGUUUUGGCUGGCAGGAAACAAACAGUGGUUAACAACAAAUUAGUGAGCUACUGAGCCUCUGGGUACCUGGGGCUGAGGGCAGAGCCAGGCUGGCUGCAGACAUCAGCUGUGGUCUCCUGCAGACCUGAGCAGGCACUCUCAGCUACAGGCCUGGCUCAAAGUUCCCUUCACACAGGUGGGAUGCUGUGGUGCGGCUUAAGCUCUGGCUGGCUUGCUCCUCCGGCUCUGUUCCCCAGGGCUUUGUUCUACUGACCUAAGGCUGGGCUUCUUUUCUCUCCUUAGAAUGGACAAAGGGGCCAAUCCUGAAGUGGGGUUUUCAGGGAGCCCAGAGCUCAGCAUAAAAUAUUUUCAAGUAAAGGACAAUCCUAGGAGCAAAAGCCUCCUUUUGGGGGUAGGGUGCACCCAGGAGCCCUCCUCAGCUCCCAGGUUGCCACCAACACUGAAGAAGUCUCUACUCCUGCCAUACCCAUCCUGCGUGGCAGGAGGGGACACAUUCUAAAGAGACACUCAUGACCCUUUCUUUAGCUUUCAGUCUAGUGAAAAAAAUGGACCCCAAGAAAUAAAAAGUUCCCCAGUAUUCUCCUGUUGAGAGAAUACAUGGCUGGAGCCUUGGGGCCAACCUGAGGGGAACUGGUCACCCAGAAGAUUAACAACUAAUCCCGUGACCUUGGAACUGGACCGAGGGGUGAGAGACCGGGUCAUGCCUUGACUGCUGAGUUAUGCAAAUCUCUUGUUUUUUAAGUCCCACCCUCGGUCAGGAUCCCUAAGGACUUGGGAAGUCCCUGGAUCUCUGGGUAUCCUCCUGCUGCAGCCACACUAAGUGCAUUUCCUUUUCCGUGAUUCAC